rnacentral:tRNA from 1 species
ACCGCGGUAGCUCAGUUGGUAAGAGCAUCACACGCGUAAUGUGAAGGUGUGGGUUCGUGUCCCACCUGCGGCA